UGAUAAUUAGUUUAAUACAAAACAAGUGAUUUCGACUCACUAAAUCAUGAUAAUCUCACGAUUGUCAA
rnacentral:tRNA from 1 species